CCAUGCUCGGGAGCGGUGCAUUCUGGGAAUCGUAGUCUUCUUAAGUCCGGGCGGGACACUUAGGCCGCCACCGGAACUACAAUGCCCGAGAUGCGCCAAGGUCCGACGCACCCGGAGCGAAGGAGUGAAGGGACCUCGGCCGCCAUGUUAGGAGUCUGGGACGACUCCGCGGAACCGGGAGAGGCUGUAGGGAACGCGGGAGCUGAGUGGUGGUGCAGUGGGGACGAGUCUGUCUACACUGUGGGAAGAUGGUAAAGUGCUUUUCCUCCUGAGGCUGUCUGGAAGGGUUAAAAAUGAUGAUGAUAUGUACUUUGUGCUGUUCCCCCCUCCCCUUUUCCACAUUAUUCUGAAAACAAAAUUUAUAGUUACCUUGAGUCAGUUAAGUUAAUGCACUACACCUCUCUGUUAGGAGUUAAUAAAGUUACAGCUGAUGAGUCCUGGUCUCAAAAGAAACAAUAGGCAGAGUGAUUAAAAUGUCCACAACAUGAUUUAGAAGAAAAGUCUGGGAAGUACACAGAUGAUAACUACAAAAACAGUUUUUUGAAGAAUGGUCUUGUAUGUAAUGUUUCAGAGAACAGGUCACAAGAUGAAUAGUUUUGUUUCAUUUUAGGACAAAGGUAUAAGUGUUGGUGACACUUGUCCAAGAAUCCAGCGGUGAAAUAGGCUUAUACAAAUACUUGUUAAUCUAAAACACUUUUACAAGCAAUGAUGGUAAGUAAAGGAAAAGAAACAAAAUGUUUAUCGUUUUCUUUCUGACCUUUAAUUUGUAGAAAUGUUUCAAGCUUAUCGUGAAUCUUACUUUUUAAGAUACUUUAUGUAAGUCAUAACCUCCAUUUUGAUUUACUGUUAAGAUAUUUUUAGGGGAAAAGAAGCAACAGAUUGCUCAGAAGUUGUGUGUGUGUGAAAAACUUUGUAAUGCAGUGAUUUCUAUAAUUUGUCACAUAUUGGGUAGUUUGAAGUUUUCCCAACCUUAAAUCUAAUGAACAACUAAUCAGAAAGACAUGAAACAAAUCAUUUUCAUCUUUAAAAAGAUUAUGAUGUAACAUUUUGCACUUAGAAACAAGUCUUGCGCUCUUUAGAAAUUCCAUUUACAAAAUUAAGAUUUGAAAAUGUAGUGAUGUUUGGUAGAGUAGGGAAACCUUGUGAAAGUAGAAUUAGAAAUGCCUUCAGGAGAUAAGGCAACCCAUGUUCUUUUCAUCUUCAAAAGGAAUUAGAACAUUGAUUUGUAUUAUGGGAAACUCACUAAAGGAAUAUUGAGUAAUUUGCUGUUAACAUUGAGAGUGUUUCAAAGAGGUAAGUGUCAGAUCACUUACAGAAUUGUGAAAAGGUAGUUAUUGCUACCCAUUUGCAUUGAAUUUUCCAGGGUUGGAACCAAGUAUUGAGUAUUUUUAAGGUUCUAUAGGUAAGUCUACAUGGAUUGAGUGGAAUGGUCUGCUACAUCCUGUAUUUGGAUUUUUGUAGUAUAUCACACAAAUAAUCACGAAAAUUUUAGGUUUACUGCUGAUUGUACCCAUGAAUGAAUUCUGAAAAUAUAGAGGGGAAUAAAUUUGGUGAUCACCUUAUAUGGGGCAGUGGCAGGAGGGCCAUGAAGUGGGAGGGAAAAAGCUGAACAUUUCUUUGAGUGUCUUAGACACCCAAUAAGAAUUCAGUGCUAUGAUGGAAUUAUGAUAGUUAUUUAGAAACUUUUUGAAAAUCGAGACAUUUGGGGCCAGUGUUGUAUCUUAGCACGUUCAACCCCUGCUUGUGACGCCAGUAUUACGUACCAGAGUGCCAAUUCCUUGUGGCUGCUUAGCUCCCAAUCCAGCUUCUUGCUACCAUGCUUGGAAAAGCCACAGAUGAUGGCCCAGGUGCUUGAGUUCCUGCCUCCCAUGUGGGAGACCAGGAUGGAGUUGCUGACUCUUGGCUUUGGCCUGAUCCAGCCUUAGUAUCACAGGCAGUUUGGGGACGGGGAACAAUGGAUGGAAAAUUCUCAACCACUCGCCUCUUUGCCUCUCCCCCAACUUUUCCCUCUCCAUCACUCUGACAUUCAAAUAAGUCUUUUUGUUAAAAAUUGAAGCAUCUAGAAAGAAGGGCAAUAUAUUUUUGGGCUUUUUCUGAAAAUAGUUUCUUUGUAAUAAUGUAUUUCCUUGUCCUAAGUUAACUUAGUAUUAAAACUUAACAGUAGUCAUACUGCACACUAGUGGCAAGAGGCAGAGCUGGAGUUUUCUGUUUUUUCCUAUUCAGUAUUAGUGGUACAGCAAAUUAGCUUUGUUUCUCUACUCUUUAAACUCUUUUCCCCUCACAAUACUCAUUUUAAUUUCUUAAGAGUUUGAUUCAGCUAAGAAGUUCAUAUUUACCUUUAAUAAGUGGGGCUUGGAGUCUAAUUUAAAGAGUACUCAUUGAAUUUCAGAUUUAGAUACUUCAGAGUGGUCAGAUACUAAACAAACUUUCCAGAGUGGUUUGAUACAUUUAGUAGUGGAAGGUCCCUGUUUACAGAUUAAGAAAUGGAAUAAGUGACUUGUGGUCACAUAGGUAAUGUAGUCUUCCCGAUUCUUAUCAAGUAUACCAUUAUAUAAUCUUGGUAACAGAUUAUGCCUUCUGAAGUAAAUGAAAGUAGUUCUGAGGCAAAUCAAGAAUAGAAACCCUUGGUUCUAUCCUGUUGUGUUUGCUGUUUUAAAUGAUUUUUUUUUUUUAAAGAUUUAUCUAUUUGAAAGAGAGGUCCUCCGUCUGCUGGUUCACUCCCCAAGUGUCUGCAGUGGCUGCAGCUGGGCCAAUCUGAAGCCAGGAGCUUCUUCAGGUCUCCCACAUAGGCGCAGGGGUCCAAGCACUAGGGCCGUCCUUCACUGCUUUCCCAGAUCAUAAGCCAGGAAUUGGAUCAGAGGAGGAGCAGCUGGAACAUGAACUGGUGCCCAUAUGAGAUGCUAACACUGCAAGCAGAUGCUUAGGCUAUUAUAAUACAGCACCAGGCCCAUAAAAUGACUUUUCUAGGUUGGCAAUCAUCUAGUUCCAGACUUAUGGCUGUUUGUUUACUAAAAUUUUCUUCUAUUUAGCAGUGCUGUGAUUUUAGUUUCACUCUUUAAGAAAGGUAAACAUGGUCGGCGCCGUGGCUCACUAGGCUAAUCCUCCAGCUAGCGGCACCAGCACACCGGGUUCUAGUCCUGGUCGGGGCGCCAGAUUCUGUCCCGGUUGCCCCUCUUCCAGGCCAGCUCUCUGCUGUGGCCAGGGAGUGCAGUGGAGGAUGCCCAAGUGCUUGGGCCCUGUACCCCAUGGGAGACCAGGAUAAGUACCUGGCUCCUGCCAUUGGAUCAGCGCAGUGCACCGGCCACGGCGGCCAUUGGAGGGUGAACCAAUGGCAAAGGAAGACCUUUCUCUCUGUCUCUCUCUCUCACUGUCCACUCUGCCUGUCAAAAAAAUAAACAGCCGGCCGGCACUGUGGUGCAAUGGGUUAAUGCCCUUGCCUGAAGUGCCGGCAUCCCAUAUGAGUGUGAGUUCGAGACCCAGCUGCUGCUCUUCCCAUCUAGCUCUCUGCUAUGGCCUGGGAGAGCAGUAGAAGAUGGCCCAAGUCCUUGGGCCCCUGCACCUGCGUGGGAGACCUGGAGGUAACUUCUGGCCAUUGUAGCCAAUUGGGGAUUGAACCAUUGGAUGGAAGACCUCUCUGCCUCUCUUCUCUCUGUGUAACUCUGACUUUCAAAUAAAUAUAUAAAUCUUUAAAAAAAAAUAAAAGUAAACAGCACUGUAGAGAAUGAGUAUAAAUCAGUGGUUUGAAGACCACUGAGAUUAGUAGAAUAAUUACUAAAUAGUUACAUAAUUGCCAUAUUAUCCCAAGGUAUUGACCAGCUGAAAGUCCUGAAUGUAAAUGCAAAUAAAUGGAACAUAGAUCUCACUGGUAACAAUGGAGUCUUUGGCAAGGGUUAGCAUUGAGGGACCUUUGAAGACAAUCCGUAUUGGAAAGAGAAUGCCUUAAUACAUUAAGAGAAAAGGGAGGGACUUAAUGCAUUUUAGACCUGAAAAAAAGAUUUUAGUUUGGUUUUUGUGCUCCUAUCACCAUGGUAAGAUCAUUUUGUUGCUGCACAUUAGCAUCAAUUAGAAAAGAAUUGUUUUGGGGUUGCUUUUAACCCUGAGUUUUUUAGCUCCCUAAGUUUGUUUAGGGUCCAUAAACUUUCAAUACUUCAUAUUUUAUAUUUGAGUAAACAAUAUUCAGAAAAUUAUAAAAGUAUAGUUUUCUUACCUUGGUAACUCAAGUGGUGUUUGUAAUAAAUUGGCAUAAUUUUAGCUACUGGACUUAAUCUGCCACUGAAGAUAAAUGUAAAUAUCCUAAGGUCAAGAGUCAAAAUCCAACUGUGUGAUAAGUUCUCAUCAAAAUAACAUCCAUUUCUUUGAUACAGUGAUGACAGGGCUGCAGUCUUUCGACUUGUAUCACCUAAGGAAUGUUUCAUUGCUUGUUAUUGAAUUAUUUUACAAAGCAGCUAUAGUGGUGGCUGAAUUUUUAAAAUUCCAUAAUUAAAGAUUUCACCUCUGUACCUUGAAAAAGUUCCACAGCUGAUUAAGAACAUGAAGCCCUGUUGAGAAUCACUGUAGCAGUUCCUUUUUAGAAAUGUUUUAAAUUAAGAAAAAGAAUUGUUUUGCCUUAUGAAGUACCAAAGGAAUACUUUUAGGGUGGGCAUUGUAGCACAGUGCAUUAAGCUUCGGCUUGGGACAGCUGUGUUCCAUGUCUGAGUGCCAGUUCAAGUCCUGCCUCUGAUUGCAAUGCAGCUUCCUGUUACUGAAUCCUGGGAGGCAGCAGAUAAUGACUUAGGUACUUGUGGGUACCCAGGUGGAGCUCUGGCUUUGGGAUGGCAAGGCCCUGGCUGUUGAGGCCUCUGGGGAGUGAACCAAUGAAUGAAGAUCGAUCAUUCUCUUUCAAGUAGAUGAAACUAAAAACCAACAUUUUGAAUAAUGUUUUUAUGUUCCAAGCUCCAACAUUUUGAAGUAAUGUUUUUAUAUUCCAAGCUAUGAAGUUUGAGACAACUGCUGUUAAGUUUGUCUACCUUUCUUCUGAAAUUGAUGUUUAUUUUUCAGAAGUGAUAGGCCAACAGCCCAAAGGUAAUAUAGGCCCAGCUGCUAUAUUGAAAAUCAAUCAGAGUUGAAAUAAUAAGUAAAUUUAAGGGGGGAACAUUUUACCAAAAUAUCUUUAGAAACAUCACCUUGGAUAGAGUUAAAUGUUUUCUACAGGUUCUACAUACCUGUAAUUGGCAUGAAUGAAUGUACCAUAUAGAUUUUGGCAAUUAAGAUUUUCUCCUGUAACUGCAGCAACUAAAUAGCAUGUACCAAAUGUGUAUUUUAAACAGUAAGAAAACUUUUCAAUACUUCAUAUCUUAAAAGUCUUUUUCUUUGAGUAAACAAUAUUCAGGAAAUUAUAAAAGUAUAGUUUUCUUACCUUGGCUGGUAACACAAGUAGUGUUUGUAACAAAUUGGCAUAAUUUUAGCUGCUGGAUUUAAUCUGCCACUGAAGAUAAAUGUAAGUAUCCCAAGGUCAAAAGUCCAAAUCCAACUGCCCAUACUUAAUAAUUAACAAGAAAAGCAAGUCCUAUUUAUCCUGUGAUUUUACUUGUCAGUUUUAAACAGGUUUGGAUACUUGAGGGGACCCAGCAUUGUGGCACAGUGGGUUAAGCUGCUGCUUGAGAACAAUACCAUCCCAUCUCAGAGUGCUGGUUCAAGUCCUGGUUGCCCUGCUUGCAGUCCAGCUUCCUGCUACUGUUUCUGGGAAGGCACUGGAUAAUGGCCCAAGUGCUUAGGACCCAUACCUUACAAAUGGGAAGACCCUGUGGAGUUCCUGGCUCUUGGCUUCAUCUUGGACCAACCCUGGUUUUUAUGGUCAUUUGGGGAGUGAACCAGCAGCUGGAAGAUUUCUCUGUGUGUGUAUGUGUGUCUCCCUCUCUGGUGCUCUGCCCUUCAAAUAGAUAAGUCUAAAGAAGGUGGGGGAGAGGGCACUAGGAAAACAGUUCUUUGCAAGAGUGUAUGAAGAUGAAUGUACUGAAUAUAAAUGCUGUAUGUUCAUGAAUAUAGAUAUUUAAGGAGAGUACUGUCUGCACAUGAACUUGCUGUAAAGGUUAAUCUAUUAGUUUUAAACCUGAUUUUAACAGCUUUGUUGAGAUCUAAUUCACAUGACCUGCAGUUUGACCAUUUGUAGACAAUGGGCUUGUUCACUAUUGUGUAACCAUCACCACAAUCAAUUUUAGAACAUGUUUAUCACCCAGUAAAGAAACUACUUAUCCACCCUCUACCACAACCUUUUUAGGAAUGUUCAUCAGUCACUCUGCCCAACUCCUUAUUUUAUGAAUUUAGUACAUAGAUGCUUUCCAAACUCAUUGGCUCCCAGACUUGUUUGAGCUUCUUUAUUACCAGCAGUUAAAAUUCAAUAGUCAUAAUUGUUGACUUAACCUAAGCAAUGCAUUAUUUCCUUCUCUUCCCUCUUCUGCACUUUUGUAUUUAAGUGCUGAGUGGAAGCUUUUAUAAUUCUUUAGUGCCUUUCCCCAUCAGAUUGGACAGUAUUCUUUUGUUUGAAUAUCAGUGUAUGUGGAGUCAUUUCCUUGUGAAUGGUUUGUGGUUUAUAUGAAAGAAAACUAGAAAAUUUUGUUGUUGCCUAUAAAUGGUAAUACACAAAGUACAUCAUUGCAGAUAAUACUGACAUGAGAGAAAACUAUAAUUGGAAUACUGUUUAAGUUUCAAAUGUGAAGUAUAAAUGAUCUUUACUGGUCACAUGCUAUUUUGAUUUACUUACCAUAAGUGGUGUAGUACAACAUUCUCACAGUUGAGGAUUUAUUAAAUGAAAUUUUUGGUGAACUAUUACCUUUUUUCAACACUUAGAAUUCUACACUGCCCUGAAAUCCAGCCAAAAAGAGAUAGGGAAGAACUCUACGGUACUCCAGUAAUUUUUAAAAGAUGAUUUUCUUUUGGUUAUUUUUCAGGACUUUUUUAAUUGCUUUUCUGACCAAACUUGUACUCCAAGUACAGUGCAAAUUACUCGAUUGCCAAAAAAAGUGUGGUAAUGACAAUGAGUCUCAGCUUCUUUUGAGAGAAUAACUUGGUUAUAAAAGAUGGUGUUUGCUCUUCACAUUUAACAUAAUUCUUAUCUCCUAACCAAACAUAAGUGGGAUCCUCACAACCGCUGUUGGAGAAAAUAAUUGGCGCUCGGUUGAACCAGGAAGUUAGAUUUGAACAGGAUUUGUUCUUGCCUUGCUAUGUUUAUCAAUAUACAUUAUCUAGAGAAGAAAUCUGAGACACUUGAAUUUGAUAGAUUCGUUAUGUGAGUGAAGUAUGAUUUUGCAAAUACAGAAAGAUGCACAAGGAGAAAAAGCAACUGAUAAUCUCAAGGAAACAAAGUCCACAAAACCCAGAAAGUCCAAUUUUUCCAUUACCUGAACUCAGCCCAUUACCCAAUAAUUUAAAUGAGCUGUUUUAUCUCUUCAGAGACAACUACAGAAUAAACAGAAGUCCAUAAGAGAAAAAAAAACUGCAAAGAUGGGUAAUGGUUCAUAUCAUAAAAUGCAACCAAGGAAGUUGAUCAUUACAGCAUCUGUAACCCAGUAUGUUCAAAUAUUUCAUUUCUUCUGAGGUAUACAACAGAAAAAAGAACCUGAGGUUUCCAAGAAAAUAAAAGGUUAACUGCCAGUUGAAUUGCUCCCUGCUGUUAAGACAAUCUGAACUACAGUGCAUAGUACAAGGCCAUAUAUGUGCAAAGAGUACUCCCUUAGUCUCAGAAGUUUAGGCUAAAUUCUAACGCUAUGUCCUUAUAUGUCACAGUCUAGAGGGAGGAAGAGACAUGAAAAUAAUGUUAAUAUGGCCAUUAUUUUUGUCAUGGGCCCAAACAUACCCAGAAUCAGAAAGGUAUUUGGCACCCACGUUUAACUGCUAAGUUAGUUAUUUAAAGUUACUGUGUUUUUGGUUUUUUUUGACAGGCAGAGUUAGAAAGGUCUUCCAUUGGUUCACUCCCCAAAUGGCUGCUACAGCCGGCACACUGCAUGGAUCUGAAGCCAGGAGCCAGGUGCUUUCUCCUGGUCUCCCAUGCGGGUGCAAGCCCAAGCACUUGGGCCAUCCUCCACUGCCUUCCCUGGCCGCAGCAGAGAGCUGGACUGGAAGAAGAGCAACCGGGACAGAAUCCGGCACCCCAACCGGGACUAGAACCCGGGGUGCAGCGCCGCAGGCAGAGGAUUAGCCAAAUGAGCCGUGGCCCCAGCCAAGUUAAUGUUAAUAUCAGUUAUUAAUACUUAGGAGGCUGUGAUAAAAGUUUAGCUUCAUGUAGGUGGUUCAUUUAUGUGCCUGAACCUGAGGAGAAAUUCAAAAAUUGUUGUUACUUGAGGUAACUCCAUUUUUACAUAUAUUUGAUACUAUGAUAGAAUUAGCUUGAAACAACAUUUAACAGUUUGCAGAUUAAUAGCAAAUUCCUCUGAUAAUACUGGCAGAGACAUUUUAUUAAAAUAUUUCUGUAUUUAUUGAGGUCAAUGCAGAACUAGAGCCUAGUUGUCACAUUGUAUUUAUACUAUUAUGAUGGAUAUAUCUGCUUAAGAUCAUUACCAUGUAAUCAUGGAAAGUUGAAAGUAGUUUAGUCAAAUAUGGGUUUAAGUAUAGAUCCCAGUUUGAAUUCAGUGCUUAUUUUUUCAAUGCUAAUUAGGAGACUGAAUACUAUAAAAAUAAAGUACCUACUUCACUGGAUUUUCCAAAGAAAUAAAGAAAUGUGUGAAUACUAAAUAAAUAUUCAAAAGGCAGCAUAGUGUAGUGACCAAGAAUAUAAACUGCAGAGCCAAUUGGCCUGCCAAUCACUUGACUUUGAGCAAGUUAUUUAAUUCUGCCUCAGUUUCUUUGAAGUGGGAAUACAUCCUCACUAGGUUGCUGGAAUAAUCAAAUUAUGUACAGCAGUGUCAUGUGUGAGAUCACUUUUUGAGGCAAAACAUUUUUUGCACUGAUUUUAAUAGAGGUAUUUAAAAAAAGCAUUUUUUGGAAAAUUGAUUUUAUUUGAAAGUCUGAGUUACUGAGAGGGAGAAAGCAAGAUCCUUCAUCCUUUGGUUCACUCCCCAAAUUGCUGCAGUGGCCAGGGCUGCGUCACUUUGAAGCCAGGAACUCCAUCUGGGUCUUCCAUGUGGGUGGCUGGGGAGCAAGUGCUUGGUCUGUCUGCCCCUGUUUUCCCAGGCACACGAGCAGGGAGCUGGAUUGGAGGUGCAGUGCCCUAAUAUGAGAUGCUGGCGUAGCAGGUAAAUGCUUAACCUGCUGUACCAUGAUGCCAACCCUACAGAAAACUAAACCAUACUAUUUAUUUAUUUAUUUAUUUGACAGGCAGAGUUAGAGAAAGAGACAGAGAAAUGUCUUCCUUCCAUUGGUUCACCCCCCAAAUGGCCGCUACGGCCAGUGCGCUGUGCUGAUCUGAAGCCAGGAGCCAGGUGCUUCCUCCUGGUCUCCCAUGCGGGUGCAGGGCCCAAGGACCUGGGCCAUCCUCCACUGCCUUCCCAGGCCACAGCAGAGAGCUGGACUGGAAGAGGGGCAACUGGGACUAGAACCCAGGGUGCUGGCGCCACAGGCGGAGGAUUAGCCUAGUGAGCUGCGGUGCUGGCCCUAAACCAUUUUUAAUCAUGAAGAAUAUGGUUUUCUCUUUCUUAGGUAUUGUAAAGUAAUGUUGCAUCAGUUUUAACUUCACCAGGUACCUAGCUUAGUAAAUGGUGCUUUGUAUGUUAUAUAAAUGUUAUGUGUAUAUAUGAAGAAUUUUAAAUUACCUGAGUUAUUCUAAUUCUAUAACUGACAUUUAAAGAUUGAGAUAAGGAAAGUAUUUUCUGAGUAAUGAAAAUGUAACCAUAUUCAGAAUUUGAUUUGCAAAUACUAGAAAUGAGUUCAAGCUAUAUAGCUCACUUGAAUGUUGGAUUUCCAAGAAUUCCAAAGGCAUAGCUAAAUAGGAAGAAUUACUUUAGGGUCACACCUGGAUGCUGGAUUUCUGUUCUAGUAACAACUAUGGAGUCAGCUUGAACAAAUAACAUUUUUAAUAUAUCCUUAUUUUUAUAACAUUUGACAACACCAAAUACAUAGUUGUCUGUAAUGUUAGUUCUCUAAAGAUGGUCUACCAACUUCCAGUAUCAGAAUCUCCUGGGAUACAGGCUAAAAAUACAGAUAAUGGUGUCUCAAUCUAGAUAUACUGCUUUAAAAUUUGAGAGUUAAGUAUGGGAAUCCUCAUUUAUAGUAAGUUUAUUAGAUGAUUCUUCCACCUAAUUCAAUUACCAGUUUUACAUGAAAGCAGCAAGGUAAGUAACUUGUCACAGUCAGGCUUUUAAAUAUAGAGUCUUGGUUCCUUUGUGUGUUCCUGAUUUAUUUUUUCCAUGAUUCUCCUUACUCUUGCUACAAUUUGAAGAAAAUUGCCAGAAUUUUAAAUAGGUUCCCAUCUAUGUAUUCAUAUUCUAUGUUCAUAUUCAGUGAAGAAUGGAGUCCAAUCACUUGAGCAAGUAUUACUUAUGCACAAAGGUUUAUAGAAAAGUACAUUCAUGGCAAUUAACUAAAUAUAAAUAUAAUCAGUUUCAUACUUCAUCUUAAGCAUUUAAUUUUCUAAGUUUUUAAUUAAGCUCUACAGUACUCUUAUAGACAUCUAGAAUAUCAGUAUUUUGGGGGCACAGUUUCAACCAGUUCUAAACCUAUUUCAUUCUGUAACCAUGUAUUGAGUAAAUAUACCAAGUACAGAGAGGUACAAAGAGGACCGUGGCUCUAAACCAUUAGACUCUUCUCCUUAGUGCUGUGGACCCGUUUGUCAGUGUAGUAAAGUUCAUGAUUCACUUGUCAAAAAACAGUUAACAUGUUAAAUACAAUUGGAGCCAGUAGUACUGAAAUGUUAUCACAAAAUGUAAAAUUUUUGAGACACAAAAAUAAGUAUUUGUUAACUCGAGAGGUCUAGCAGUGGCUCAACAAUUCAUUUCAACAUAGUGGUGAGGAUGAGUGGUAUUUUAAGUGUUCUGCAACAAUUGUAAUAUGAAACUACAUUCAAUGUGAGUCACAUAUACUACUAGCUACUGUUAUUGUCGACAUUCAAAUAUUAAAAAUUACCAGGAGUAGUAACUUUCCAUCCUUUUUCCAUCCAAGUUCAUGGGCCCCCUAAAUUCUGUCUAUAAACUUACCAAGGCUUGGGUAAGAUCUCUAGAGACUUAAGUAUAAAAAUUUGUUGUGCCUUAACCAAUAUAAUGUACAAUCAAAAUAUUCACGCCAUAAGAGAAGUCUAAGGAAAUUCUCAUUUUCCCAUAGUGAAGGCUAAGAAACUUCUUAGAAAAUGCUAAAUUACUUCUACUUGUUUCAUCAGGCAGUAGCUCCUUUGCUGAGUGUGAGUUUAGUAUCCAAGCUUAGCUGUAUCCACUACAUUUAGUACCUAGUUAAAGCUCAAUAGAAUAAGUUAAUAUUUUCAAUGAGAAGUUUGAAAUUUUAAAGAACAUUCAUAACAGGAAAACAAAACAUGGAAUAGUGUGCUGUAGGUGAAUACAUUGAAGGUAUUUGUGGCCAAAUAAUGUCCAUUGCGGUUAGAAUUGAAGAGUAGGGCUAGCAUCCUCAAAUGAUCUCACUAAUGUGUAAGCUCUGUGAGAAUUUUUGGCCACUUUGUUGACAAUGUGAUAUAUACCAAAAAGUCUAGCAACUUGGGUACCUCAGUUCUUUAGACAUUCUCAAACAUUACAGAAUUAACCCAGCUCCAGCUGCGGAAAUUUAAAAUGCAUCUUUUUCCUAGUAGACAUUCAAUAAAUAAAUGAAGGACAGUUUUUUUUUUUCCUUAACAGAAAGCAAAUUUGUAUUGCCAUAAAUAUGUUUAGCCACCACUUAGAUUAUUUCAAGGUAGGAAUUGCCUCCACUGAAAAUUUAAGGCAUUAUAACAACAGGUUAAGCCACUGUUUGGGAUACCUGCAUCCCAUAUCUGAGUGCCAGAUCAAAUCCCAGUACCUCCGCCUCUGAUCCAGCUUCCUAUCCCAGCUUCCUGGGAGGAGCAGAGAUCAUUCAAGUGCUUGGGCCCCUGCCACCCAUGUGGGAGACCCAGAUAGAGUUCAGGCUCCUGGCUUCAGCUUGACCUAGCUCCGGUUGCAUGGAAGUUAUUUAUUCAUUCUCUCUCUCUCUCUCUCUCUCUCUCUCUCUCUCUCUCUCUCUCAUGUUUUUGAGAGAGAGACUUUAUAUUCUUCAUUUCAAGUGGGUUAAAAUAAACAUUAAAAAUUAAGACAGGGCAAACAUGUACAGUGGUUGUCAUCACUUGGGAUGCCUGCAUCAUGGAUCAGAAUGCUGGUUACAGCUACUUCGCCUCUGAUCCAGCUUCCUGCUAACGUGUAUCGUGGGAGGCAGCAAACAAUGGCUCAAGAAUUUGGGCCCCUGCCACCCAUGUGGGAGACCAGAUUGACUUUAGGGAGUGAGCUAGCAGAAGAGCUUGCUCUGUCACAAAAGAAUAAAAAUUGAGGCCCAAUUCUAUCUGGAGCCCUCCAUUAAAUGUAGAGGAGUUCAGAAUAGAAUCCGUGUUUGUUUGACAUUUACCCUAGCAAGUUAGACAUUUGUCAUAUAUUGGAGUGCCUAGAUUCAAUUCCUGGUCCCAGCUUCUGAGUGCAGCUUCCUGCCAAUGAAAACCUUGGAAGGCAACAGUGAUGGCUCAAGUAAUUGGGUUGCUGCCACCUAUGGGGAGACCUGGAUUGAGCUUUCAGUUUCUGGGCCCAGCUCUAGCUGUUGUGGGCAUUUCACAAUUGAACCAAUGGAACUAGUGCUCUUCCUUGCCCGUAUUCUCUUUCUUCCCCUCAAAUGAAUUGAUUCCUUAUUAAACAAACAAACCCAAGCUCCAAAAAAUUAAAAUUGCACAAAAACUGCUACUAGUAUUUUUCCUUUUAGAGGAAACAUGGGAAAAAAUUAUGUAGGGGGAUUUCUAGACCUGUCUAUCUCAGUUCUGUAUUCACACCAAAAACUACUAAUUGUGAUCCUUUUUGCACAUUUCUCAAACAUGCAGUAACAAUUUUGACACUAAGACCAGGUUACAAAAUUUCUAUAAUUUUAAAUGUAUUUUAAAGUGUUUCACUUAAAGAUGUAUAUUUUUUAAAAACUUUAAAUAUAGUGAUGGCGUUGUGGGACAUCAGGUUAAGCUACCACCGGCAAUGCUGGCAUCCCGUAUGGGCACUGGUUUGAGUCCUGGCUGCUCCAUUUCUGAUCCAGCUCUCUGCUAAUGUGCAUGGGAAAGCAGUGGGAAGAUGGCUCAAGUGCUUGGGUCCCUGUCACACAUGUGGGAGACCUGGAUGAAGUUCCCGGCUCCUGUCUUCAGCCUGCUCCAGCGCUGCCUAUUGUGGCCAUUUGGAGAGUGAAUCAGUUGAUGGAGGAUAUCUGUCUUUCCCUUCCCCUGUAACUCUGCAUUUCAAAUAAACAAAUCUUUAAAAAAUUAAAUCUAAAUAAGCUGUUGUUUGUGCUACAGCAAUUUUUUCCCAGUUUGCCUUCUGUGUUAAUCAGAAUCUUUUCUACUGUACCAUCCUAGAAAAAUUUCAAGAUUUCUGGAUUUUAUGUUGGUAAUUAACGACUAGUCGGAUUUUUUGAUGCCUCUCCCCUCCCUAAAUCAAUAGAUGUGCUUUCACAUGUUAAAUCUUUAAAAAGAUUUAUUUAUUGUAUUUGAAAGGCAGAGUUACAGAGAGAGAGGAAGAGACAAGAGAUCUUCCAUCUGCUGUCCUACUCCCCAGAUGGCUGCAAUGGCCAGACUUGGGCCAGUCCAAAGCCAGGAGCCAGUAGCUUCUUCUAGGUCUCCCACGUGGGUGCAGGGGCCCAAACAUUUGGAGCAUACUAAGCUGCUUUCCCAGGCACAUUUGCAGGAGCAGCCAGGACUCAAACCAUCGCCCCUGGGAUGCGGCAUCCCAGGUGGCAGCUUCACCUCCUAUGCCACAAUGCUGGCUCCUCACGUAUUAAGAAGGAAGUAAAUCAGUUUAGACAAAAACAUUGUUGGGCUGAUACAAUGCUAAUGAAAGUGAAGAGUGAUUUUGAAGUGCUUCUGAUCCACAUUGGGAACACUAGACCAACAUGUUUCUCUAAAUUGGUAUAUGAUACAAAUUUUUCAGUUCUGACUCAGAAGCACAUGUGUUGUUCAAUACAUAACUUGAGGAAGUUAAAUAGAACCUGUGUUUUGCAGAUAGGAAAAUUAGGUACCUGGGAAGUAAAACCUGGCUUGACAUGCAUUGAUCUGAAGCCAUUUGCAAGGUUUAUUCAUCCUAUGUAGUGUGAGGUUUUUUUUUUUUUUAAAGAUCCAUUUAUUUAUUUAUUUGAAAGGUAGAGUUACAGAGAGGCAGAGAUAGAAAGAGGUCUUCUGUCUGCUGUCUCAUUGCCCAAAUGGCCACAAUGGCCAGAGCUGGGCCAAUCUGGAGCUUCUUCAGGAUUUUCCACAUGGGUGCAGGGGCCCAGAGACUUGGGCCAUCUUCCACUGCUCUCCCAGGCAAUAACAGAGCUGGAUCAGAAGUGGAGCAGCUGGACUUGAAACGGUGCCCAUAUGGUAAGCUGGCACUGCAGGCAGUGGUUUUACCCGCUACACCACAGCACCAGCUCCUCUUUCUCUAUCUCUUUUUUUUUUUUUAAGACGACUUGUUCUCUUUUUUUUAUUUAUUUAUUUUUUUAUUUUUUGACAGGCAGAGUGGACAGUGAGAGAGAGAGAGAGAAAGGUCUUCCUUUGCCAUUGGUUCACCCUCCAAUGGCCGCCACGCCUGGCGCGCUGCGGCCGGCGCACCGCACUGAUCUGAUGGCAGGAGCCAGGAGCCAGGUGCUUUUCCUGGUCUCCCAUGGAGUGCAGGGCCCAAGGACUUGGGCCAUCCUCCACUGCACUCCCUGGCCACAGCAGAGAGCUGGCCUGGAAGAGGGGCAACCGGGACAGAAUCUGGCGCCCUGACCGGGACUAGAACCCGGUGUGCCGUUGCCGCUAGGCGGAGGAUUAGCCUAGUGAGCCGUGGCGCCGGCCCUCUCUAUUUCUUAAAAUAAAGCCUGCUCCCAUCCUUGCACUCUAUCUAGGUCUCUGCUUUGAAUCCUUAUCUCACAUGGAGGCAAGAGCCUGGAAUAAAUAUAGCUAGCGACUCUAUCCCCACAACACUUCCCAUUAUAUACAGUAUGUGGACUCUUGCCAUUCUAAACUACAUUCUUGUGAUCUCACCUGAUCCCAAAGAUUUAGGAUAAGGGACUGUUGGUUCGUAGUCAUUUCCUUUCCAGAAUAGUCAUCUAUAUCAUUUGGUGCUUCGAUGAUAUAGAAUAAUUUUAAUUCCAUUUUUUGACUUGCAGUCUUCAUGCAUACCAUGUGGUGUGAUUUUAUAUUUUUUUGUUUGUUCUUGUAUUUUUUAAAAGGGUUUAUUCAUUCAUUUAUUUAUUUGAGAGGCAGAGUUACAGACAGAGGGAGAGAAAGAGAGCAAGGUCUUCCAACCACUGGUUCACUCCCCAAAUAUCCACAAUGGCUGGAGUUGGGCCCAUCUGAAGCAGCAGCCAGGAGCUUCUUCUGGGUCUCCCAAGCUGUGCAGGGGCCCAAGCACUUGGUCCAUCUUCUACUGUUUUCUCAGGCCAUCAGCAGAGAACUGGAUUGGAAGUGGAGCAGCCAGGACUGGAACUGACGCCAGUAGGGGAUGCUGAUGCUACAGACAGAAGAUUAACCUACUAUGCCUUAGUGCCAGCCCCCCAAUUAUAUGUUUUGAAAAUUAUUAUGAAAACUAUGUAACAUCACUUGACCUGAAAACAGUAGAACCUACUAAUUGUAGGCUAAUGGAGAGAGUUUGAAAAUAAUCUUUAAAAUUCAAAAUGUUCCCCAAAAGCUAAUUACAUCUCAGAAUCAACUUGAUCCUACCUUAUAACUCUCCUUUUCCCUUAGUACAAAGCUGAAAAAUGGCUGAUUCAUACACCAAUAAGCUGUCUUUGGCAGCCAGAUGUUAUUUUUACCAAUAAAUGAUAUGUUAUUUUCUUUGGUUUGUCACAUUCUUAGCAGAUAUGCAAUGGUUGGUUAAUGGAUAAUGAAGUUGUUAAAUUAUAAAACUUUGAUUGAUUGAAUAGUCCUUUAAGUAAUAAUUGACAUAUCACCCUUUAUUUUCUGAUCCUAUUGUGAUAGAUUUUACACUAGUGAGAUGGACUGAUUCAGACAAUCAAGGAAAUACUGUGGAACAUCUCUGACAGAAUCUUGCCUGGUCCUAACAGGACACUGAAUUGGAGUAUGAGUCCCAGUGCAUUAGAACUAGACUGUGAAAGGGACAGGUAGAGAGGGUGACAUGUAUUGACAGUUGCUCUUGUUUUCAUGUGUUUAAUGACAUGAGCAUAAAGCCAUUACUGUAAUAUUUAAGUUUAUCUUGAAAGGAAAAGUGUGAAAUGGCUCCAGGAUUAGUUGGUUUUCAGUGAAAUAAGUUGUUUUCUUUCGGAACUUGAUUCAUUAUAAUUGCAGAAUCAAAGAAAAUGCUGUUUUAUCAAAGCCUGUUUAAUUCUGAAUUUACUUAAAUAUAGUUAUGUGGUAGAGCAUUUUUAGAUAGACUGCAUUCAUCUUUUCUGUUUUUGUCACCCAGUAAUAUACCUCAUCAUCAGCCAUAGCAAUAUGACUGGACAUGCAGGAGAACAAGUAUUCAUAAUAGAAUGUUAAGUUGCUUCCAUAAUCAGAUGGCAUUCCACUUUCCCUACCUUUUGUUCUCUUUUAUUUACCCACUUAUGUUUGUGUGCUAUUAACUAUAUUGCAAUAUAUGACCACUAAUCUGUAACCUUUGACAGCAUAAGCUAAACCAUAUUUUCACAUUCUCUUCUACACUUAAAACAGAGCUUUUGUUUCCUUAACAAGUAUUCAUUGGGUAUCCACUAGGUGUCAGAUAAUAUAGUAGGCAUAUUCUGAGAAUAUCAAGAUAAAUACAGACAUGCCUAUGGGAGUUUGACAGUCUUGUUGAGUAGAAGUGGAAGGAUAGAUGUGCAAGCCAAAAAUGCUACAGUAUAUUAUAACUAUUAAAAUGGCAAUAAAAUGCCAGAACUUUUCAUUUUAUAUUUAGUGAUCAUUCUAUAUCAAUUAAAUGCAUAAAAUGUAUAUGCUGGCAUGAAUGACUUAUAAUGGAAAAUGCUGAAUAGAACUGUAUGGAAAUUGAAUAAGACAUGCCAGUAGAAGGGGAGAUAUUUGAUUCCAGGCAAGCUAUUAUGCAGCAUGUAUUUUCAUCAUAGCUUUAGGGUAAAACCUGUAACCUCAAAACCAAUCACUAUUUUGUUCCUUUUUUGUUUUUGUUUUCUGUUUUUGGUUCCUCUAGCAUGUUAAAAUUUUACUGUCAGUUCUAAUUCUCAUCUAUCUUCCUUAGUCCUCACCCUUAAUUUUCACAUUUUCAUUUGCCCUAAUUAGUGCCAGCCUUAACUUUGAGUGGGCUAAGGUAGAGAACAAGAAAGUCAUUUUCAAAAACAUUUCACCAAUAAGCCUGCCUCAGUGACUAAGUUUCCAGUGUUGUAAUGUCAUUCUUGGGCUUGGCGUCUGUUAGUGUAGCAGGUAAAGCCACUGAGAUGCCAGCAUCCCACAUGGGGGCCUGUUCAGGUCCUAGCUGCCCCGCUUCUGAUCCAGCUCCCUGCUAAUGGCCUGAGAAGGCAGUGGACUAUGGCCCAAGUGUUUAGGCCCCUGUCACCCUCGUGGGAGACCCAGAUGAAGCUCCUGACACUUGCCUUUGGCCUGGUCCAAUGCUGGUCAUUGCAGCUAUCUGGUGAGUGAACCAGUAGAUGGAAGAUGUCUCUCUCUCUCUCUCUCUCUCUCUCUCUCUCUCAUUUUCAAAACAAAUAAUGAAUUUUUAGAAGCCCGGGAUUGCACUAUAGUUGCCUAUUGACCCGGAAAACUUAUAGGCAAAACAGACCAUGAGUUAUAUUUUUUCCUUUUAAACUUUUUAAAUUAAUUUUAAAAUCUAUGUAUGUAAGAUUCAUUCUUUUGGUGUAUAAUUCUAUGAAGUUUGAUAAAUGCAUGGUCAUGUAAUCACCACCACAGUCAAGAUAUAGUUCCAUCACCCAAAAUAUUCUUUUGUGCUGCCUCAUUUAUAAUUUUAAGUUAAAAAUAAUUAUUUUAUUUUUCAAAAAAUAUUUGAAUAUUCCAUUUUAAUUAAUUCCUUAUUCAAAAAGUAUGUCUUGGCCGGCACCGUGGCUCAAUAGGCUAAUCCUCCGCCUUGAGGUGCUGGCACACCGGGUUCUAGUCCCAGUCGGGGCACCGGAUUCUGUCCCGGUUGCCCCUCUUCCAGGCCAGCUCUCUGCUAUGGCCCGGGAGUGCAGUGGAGGAUGGCCCAAGUGCUUGGGCCCUGCACCCCAUGGGAGAUGCCUUCGGAUCAGCGCAAUGCGCCAGCCGUGGUGGCCAUUGGAGGGUGGAGGGUGAACCAACGGCAAAAAAAGGAAGACCUUUCUCUCUGUCUCUCUCUCUUACUGUCCACUCUGCCUGUCAAAAAAAAAAAAAAAAAAGUAUGUCUUGGGGCCAACACUGUGGCAUAAUGUGUAAAGCCACUAUCUGCAAUGCCAGCAUCCCAUAUGGGCACCAGUUCGAGUCCUGGCUGCUCCUCUUCUGAUCCAGCUGUCUACUAUGGCCUGGGAAAGCAGUAGAAGAUGGCCCAAGUCCCUGGGCCCCUGCACCUGCAAGGGAAGACCCAGAGGAAAUUCCUGGCUCCUGGCUUUGGAUCAGCGCAGCUCCAGCCGUUGCAGCCAAUUGGGGUGUGAACCAGCGAAUGGAAGAUUCAUUCAUUCUCUCUCUCUCUUUCUGGCUCUCCUCUCCUUUGUAACUCUGACUUUCAAAUAAAUAAAUAAAUCUUAAAAAAAAUAAAAGUUUAUCUUGGGGGCUGGUGCUGUGGUAUAGCAGGUAAAGCUGCCACCUGCAGUGCCGGCAUCCCCUUUGGCUGCUGGUUCGAGUCCUGGCUGCUCCACUUCUGAGCCAGCUCUCUACUGUGGCCUGGGAAAGCAGAAGAGGAUGGCCCAAGUCCUUGGGUCCUUGCACCCACAUGGGAGACUUGGAAGAAGCUCCUGGCUCCUGGCUUUGGAUUAGUGCAGCUCUGGCCAUUGAGGCCAACUGGGGAGUGAACCAGUGGAUGGAAAACCUCUCUCUCUCUCUGCCUCUGCCUCUGUGUUGCUCUGCUUUUUGGAGUUAAGACUCUCUCUCUCUCCUUCCUUCCUUCCAUCCCUCCUUCCUUCCUUCCUUCCUUCAGAGAAGGAGGAGAGAGAUCUUCCAUCAGCUAGUUCAUUCCCUAGUGGCUGCAACAUCCAGGGCUGGGCCAGGCUGAAGCCAGGAGCCAGAAGCCUUUUCAGGGUCUCCCACUUGGAUGCAGGGGCCUAAGCACCUGGGCCGUCUACCGCCACUCUCCCAGGAGCAUUAGCACGGAGCUGGAUCAGAAGUGGAGCAACUGGGACUUGAACCAGCACCCAUAUGGGAUGUUGGCACUGCAAGCAGUGACUUUACCCACUAUGCCGCAGUGCCGGCAUCAAGACUACCUUUUCUUUUUUAAGAAAGAUUUAUUUGUUCAUUUAUUUGAAAGGCAGAGUUAUACACAGGCAGAGGCCGGGGGGGUGGGGGGUGGAGAGAGGUUUUCCAUCCACUGGUUCACUCCCAAACUGGCCGUGGUGGUCGGCACUGCACCAAUCCGAAGCCAGGAGCCAGGAGCUUCUUCUGGGUUCCCACAUGGGUGCAGGGACCCAAAGAUUUAGACAAUCCUCCACUGCUUUCCCAGGAAAUAGCAGAAGCUGGAUCUCAAACUGGUGCCCAUAUGGGAUGCUGGUACUGCAGGUGGCAGUUUUACCUGCUACGCCACAGCACUGACCCCAAGACUGCACCUUUUCUUUCUUUCUUUUUUAUUUAUUUAUUUUUUAAAUUUUUUGGCAGAGUGGACAGUGAGAGAGAGAGACAGAGAGAAAGGUCUUCCUUUUGCUGUUGGUUCACCCUCCAAUGGCCGCCGCGGCCAGCACACUGCGGCCGGCGCACUGCGCUGAUCCAAUGGCAGGAGCCAGGUGCUUCUCCUGGUCUCCCGUGGGGUGCAGGGCCCAAGCACUUGGGCCAUCCUCCACUGCAGUCCCUGGCCACAGCAGAGAGCUGGCCUGGAAGAGGGGCAACCAGGACAGAAUCUGGCGCCCCCACCGGGAGCCUAGUGAGCCGUGGCGCCGGCCAAGACUGCACCUUUUCUAAUAAGCCUCUGUAGAGAUAUGUACAAGGAGAGGCUAAACAUUACUCCACUGUUCCUUAGUUUGUAGUUAAACUGCUGAAAAGAAUUAGGAGUCAGAAAAGAUCAAGGGUGUGUAUGCUGGGUUGGAUAGGAGAUAGGAGUUCUGAACAUUGAGGAGAUUAGAGCCUGUAGACACAGUAAUGUGCAUGGUGGUGUAGAUAUGGAUAGUGUUUUAAGUAGUGUCAGAGCACUGGAUUCUAAGAUAGGGAACAUCAAAGAAAGAGGAAAUGAGUCCUUGAAGAGGAGUGGUCUUCAUGUAAAAAUUGAUCUAUCUUACUCUAGAGCUAUAGAGCUGGAAUUCUAGUACUGAUUCUACCAGUAACUUGUUCUUGAAAAGGCACCUCCCCUGUCUGGACUUAAAUUUCAUCAUCUGUCAAAGAGAAGACUGGAUUAAAUAUGUUUAUUUCAGUGUUCUUUACUAGAGAUAAAAUUUAUGUCUGUGCUUUUCUAAGGUUUUGUUCUCAAGUUCUUGGGUUUUCUCUAAUUUAUUUGAAAGAGAGAGAAAAGGAGAGAGAGAGAGAAACUCCCAUCUGUGCUGGUUUACUUUCCAAAUGCCCACAACAACCCUGGGCCAAGGGCCAAUGCCAGGAGUCAGAAAAUCAAUCUGGGCCUCCCACAUGGGUAGCAGAAAUCCAACUACUUGAGCCAUCGCCACUGCCUUCAAGAAAGCUGGAGUCAGGAACAGAGGUGGGUAAUGAACCCAGACACUCUGAGGCAGGAUGCUGGUAUUCUAACCCUAUUGAUAAUUCCCAAUGUUCUUCUAUUCUUACUUCCCCUGAGUCUGCAGCUGUUGUUCUUCUGGUUUGAUUUUUGUUUUUUAAUUUUUGUUAGUUACUUCUAUAGGCUGAGACUUUUGCUAUUUAACAUACAUUAUUUAAAGACUUCUGUUGUGCUUCUAUGCUUUGUAGGUGCUCAGAUAUGGCAAAAUCACACCAUGCCUCCCACUCCUACCCUGGAUAGCAAAUUCUUACAGCAGAUCUCAUUUCAAUGAAUAUUUAAAGAAGCGCUAGAGAUGGGGAAGAUGGGGGAAAGAUAUGUGUGUCUUUAAAUUGAUAAGGAAAAGGAAAAGAACUAACAUUUGAGGGCCUACUUUGUGCUAGGUUCUUUCUGCUUGGUAUAUUCUUUAGGUCAUUGAGAUAAACAGGUAGACAUCAUCUAGGAAGACUGUCUUGGUAACCAAAACAAAACAAAACAAAACAAAAAAAGGAUUUCACAUCACAAAUCACUGGAACUAUUCAGAAUACUUGUUUUCCAUGUCAUUGAGGGCAAUGAAAGCAUAAUGCCUCUAUAUGGUGUUUGGUAGAUAUUUGUUGAAUAAGUAGGUAUUUUUCUCAUGAUCUAUGAAAUUACUUCUUCCUAUUUUGGGUCUGUGAACCUCUAAGAAUUUUAUAAGAACUAUGAACUCAUCUAGGAUUUUACCCCUGCCAUACACACACACUAUACACAAAAAGAAAUAGCCAAGUCCCUGUCCUUGCCUUAACCACCUCCAUGUCUACAUUUUUAUAUGUUUCCCUCUAUCUCUCUCUCUCUUUAAAUAUUUACUCAUGUAUUUGAAAGGUAGAGUUACAGAGAGAGAGAGAUCAUCCAUCUGUUGGUUCACUCUCCAAAUGGCCACAACAGCUGGAGCUGGGCCCAUCUGAAGCCAAGAGCCAGGAGCUUCUGGGUCUUCCCCGUGGGUACAAGGGCCCAAGUACUUGAGCCAUCUUCUAUUUCUUUCCCAGGCUCAUUAGCAGAGAGUUGUAUCAGAAAUGGAGCAACCAGGACUUGAAACAGUGCCCAUAUGGGAUGCCAGCAAUGCAGGCAGUAGCUUUACCCGCUAUGCCACAGUGCUGUCUUCUAUAAAUAUAUUUUGCAAAACCCAAUCUUUCAGAAUGUUUACAGCCCUGUUGGGUCCAUUCACAUGCUCCAGGUUUAGAACUCAGCUCUGGAAAGACGUCUUGGUACCUAGGUAGCAUAGGAGCACAGUUCCACUAAAUUAGAGCACUGCAUAAUGCAGUCUAGUGCUGCCAUGCUUUAUCAGUCCCUUACGGACAAGAAAAUCAUACCAUGCCUGCUGACCAUCUACUAGUGGUUAUCUUCGGUUUUCUUUUAUGAGCAGAACUUGCAUCCAGCUUUCUUUCAGAUUCAUUAAUGUGUGCUACAAAGAAAAGAAAAUCAGUGCUGGAGCCAGAGUGGUGUAGUGAGUUAAGCUGCCAUUGAGAUGCCAGCAUCCCAUAUCAGAGUGCCAGUUCCAGUCCUGGCUACUUUGCUUCCUGCUAAUGCACCUGGGAAGGCAUCAGAAGAUGGCCCAGGUACUUGGGCCUCUGCCACACACAUGAGAGUUCCUAGCUCCUAGCUUCAGCCUGGUCCCACCCUGUUUGCUGUAGCCAUUUGGUGAGUGACCCAGUGAAAGGAAGAUCGAUCUCUGUCUUCCUCCACCCUGCCCUUGCUCUUUAAAUAAAUGAAUAUAUAAAUCUCAAAAGAAGAAAAUCAGCAUCGUACACUUUAUCCUUUUUAGAUUUUUGUAGUACUAAUUAUGCAAAGAACUUAUUUGUCCCAAAGUUUAUCCUCCAAGGGGGGUAACAUGUUUUCUAGAUAGAAUAAUCUUUAUUUCCUUUUGUACAGGUCCCCAUUCAGAAACUCACUUAGAACUCUGCUUGGGCAGUGUCCUCUUCUGUGAAAUUUUACACAGGUACAGAAAGAUGAUGAAAAAAUUGUCUUUCCUCAUAGUGGAGGAGAAUGACGUGUAAAACAAAUAUUCCAAAUAAUUCCAGAUGGGAUAAAAACCACUCCAACAAAAUUUUGGUGGCUACAUUCAUUAAAGGAAGACUAAGUGCCAUGUAAACUAUAAAAUUUUCUCAAUACCUGUCUGGCCCUUACCUUGCUAGAGAAACUUCAGGGCUAAGUACAGUCUUAUCUUACUUUAUCUCCAGUUAUAUUUUCCCUAGUAUACAAAACAAGAUUACACCUAACAUAGGCCUGUGAUAGAAGAAACUAGAAUUGUUCACUGUUAUCUACUUAUUUGAAAGGCAAAGUUACAAAGAGAAAGAGAGACAGAGAGAGAGAAAGAGAGAGUGCUCUUCUAUAAGCUGGUUCACUCCCCCUGCUUUCCCACGUGCAUUAGCAGGGAAUUGGAUCGGAAGUGGAGCAGCUAGGACUUGAAUUGGCACCCAUACUGGAUGCUGGCAUCCCAGGCAGCAGUUUUACCCACUAUACCUCAACGCUGACCCCCACUAUUACUAUUAAAGUACAAAACAGAGAGGGAAUUUGUUGAUCCAAUGGAUUAAUGUUUUGAGCAUUUAAUAUAUGCCAAGGGCUUUUACAUUCUUAAUUUAAGUUUUAAAUAAACUUUCUGCAUGGAGAGUGACAGAAUCCAUAGUGCACUUGCCCCAGGCAACACAGUUAUAGCUAACACUUGAAUGAUUACUAUAAGCAAAGGCACUACAUGCAUUUACAGGCAUUUCAUUCACAUUUCUCAUUUAAUCUUUCUAAUAAAUCCAGAAGAUUCAAUUUAUAUUGCCAUUCCUAGUUUGUCUAGAAAACUGAAACUUAUAAGAGCUUAGAAAAUUUGCCCAACAGUAUUGCAAAGAUGGGACUUUGAGCCCUGGCUGAUUUGACACCAUUCCAAUGUACUUCUAAGCUUCCAGCACUAAUCAUGCAGCAUCACCAUCAGUUAUGAAAUAAUGUGACUGUCCAUGGCAGGGAGUCAGUGAGGGAGAUAUUGAGGGUGAGUCACUGCACUGCUUCUGAAAGAUGUGAUACCUUCCCUUGCAAACAAGUUUCUUGGGGUGAAAUCAGGUUGGAAAGACAAGAGAGGGAGAAGAAGGUGGAGGUGGUGUAGUUGGGCCUGUUUAGGAACUGAUUACAGCUGAGCCUCUGGCCCUUUUCCCUGCCAGCUGACUCAGAGCCGGUAGAUGGGCCAUAGCCCAGGCAGGUUGAUUUCAUGGACUGUGUACUUCAAAGGAUCUGAUUCCUGGCACUGCUAUGCACUGUGCUUUUCAGAGGGCAUAGCCUUGUGUCGGGGAGGGAACAGGAUGGUCUCCAUGAGAUGUUUGUGAAAGCUGGAGGCAAUGUUUGCUCUGAAUCCAAAUAUAUUGGUAUGCAGCUUGUUCUGAGUUUGGCAGUAAAAACCACAUGGCUAGUCCUAGUUAAGGCUGAAAAUUGAGUAUUUAAACCAUAAGUAUCCUGCAGAACAACAAUGGUUAGACAUGGGCCUUAGAGUCAGAUAGACCUGGUUUCCAGUAUUGGAUUCACGAUUCAACUGUGUAUAAGUUACUAGGCCUCAGUUUUCUCAUGUGUAAAAUGGGCAUUGCAGUAAUGCUUACUUUACAUGUUUAUUUUGAGUAUUAAAGAAAAAUGAGUACAAGGCAUAUACCAUAGUACCUAGGACAUAAUAACACUCUUGAAAUGUUAGUCAUUAUUCAAUGAAAACUCCUAUUUUAUAAGAGAAUCUCAGAGCUUAAACAGAAUGAAUUAAUUGGUUCAUUAUUUCACUUAUCAGACAUUCAAAAGGCAUUUAUCACUGUGUUGGGUGGGAGGGAUAGAGAAAACAACUUUUGUUCAGCAACUAAAAUGAGCUGAUUUCUAAGAAAAUUAUUUUCUCCUUUAAUAUUCACAGUUGCCCUAUAAAGUAUUUUUCCCAUGUUAUAGCUGAGGUCACAGACUGGGAAGGGUUUAGUAACAUGCCUAAGAUCAUAUAGUCAGCACGGUCCUACUUCAAAGACUGUGAAAAAGGGUGCCUUUAACCUACUGGCCCAAGUUACUCAGCAGGCAGCCACGUGCCCCGGUACCAAAGUGCUGUUGUCAGGCUUUAUACUAGGUGCUUGGUAGCACAGGGCAGGAAGGGCAAACUCUGGGGGUGGAGUGAAGGUAGUUUCCUUCACAGGAAUAAAUGCUGGUAGGAUGGCUUCUGGUGGGAAUGAGGUAGGGGACUUUUGUUGGUGGAGGAGUUAUGGGAGCUUUUCCUGGGUUUCCCAAAGUCACACUAAAAGAUUGGAGGAAGGUUUUUCUUGCCUUUUGGAUCUAGCAAUACAAUUGCAGCAAAUUUUAGCUAGCAAAGGAACUGUCUCCAGAGAGAUCAGACAGUGUUGCUUAUUUGAGGUGAAAAGGUGGAAGUUAUAUAUAAAUGAUAUCUGUCUGCAUCAUAAUCAUGUGGACUUCCUUGGGCUUUGGAACUGAACCUCAUAUUAAUAAUAGCAAUUAGUUUUUACUACAUGAUGAUUGGUAUUUAUCACUGCUGUGUUCAUAGGCUAGAACUCUUAGCUGGAUAAAGAUAGAAAGACUUUUUCUAAGUCACAAAUCUCAAAUUAUGUGUACUUAAUUUGAGUAUAUACCCCAAAUAUAUAUGUAUCACUUUGCAAAUUAUACACAGACACUAUUGUACUAAUACAGGACAUGCUUUAUGAAGUAUAUCAAAAAUGAAGUUGAAAUAAACUAUUUUAUCUCAGGGAAAAUAUGUACUUUUGUACCUGAUCAUUAAUAGUGGAUAUAAAUUAAUAUUUCAGGAAGACUUUGUAAUAGUUUUAGAUUCUUUUUGGUCAAUUUGUCAAAUUUGAUUCAACAAUCUGUAUUUAACUUACAAUGUGACUAAUAAAGCACUCACACUAGGCCAGCGCCACGGCUCAAUAGGCUAAUCCUCUGCCUACGGCGUCGGCACACCGGGUUCUAGCCCUGGUCGGGGCGCCGAAUUCUGUCCCGGUUGCUCCUCUUCCAGUCUAGCUCUCUGCUGUGGCCCAGGAAGGCAGUGGAGGAUGGCCCAAGUGCUAGGGCCCUGCACCCGCAUGGGCAACCAGGAGGAGCACCUGGCUCCUGGCUUCGGAUCAGUGCGGUGCGCCGGCCGCAGCAGCCAUUGAGGGGUGAACCAACGGAAAAAGGAAGCCUUUGUCUCUCUCUCUCACUGUCCACUCUGCCUGUCAAACAAACAAACCUCACACUAAGUAGAAGUGUAGUUCUGCGGGUUUUUUUUCUUGUCCUUAUAUGUAUCAUCUUCAACUCACAAGGUGUUCUCAGCAAUCUUUUUAAACCAAUUGUUCACUUUGUGCAAUUUAACUUAGUGAAAAUUAGAUUCAAAAAUCUUUAAAUCCCUUUUUAAACUGCAGUAUGUUGCCAAAUGCUGAAAGAGCCUCCAUUUAUGCUUUACCUGACAUGAGCACCCAAAGGGACCAUGUAGGGAUGUCAUCUUAAUGGAGCUUAUGACUGUUGUUUUAUCAAAUAGCAAACAUAAGUGGACAUUACAAGCAUUCUAGCCACACCUCAAUGGAUUGACUUGCAUACCUCUAGAAUGAGCACACUUCAUUUUGGCAAUCAGUAGUGUAAGGAACAGGACCUGUGGCCAUAAUGUGAGAAUAACUAACCCUAUCUUGAGCAAUGUUUGGCUCAGAUUCAUUUAUGAAUGAUAAAUGGAAAGAGUAAAACAAGGUUUUUCGAGAAAUCAGAAGAUCUGAGUGUAUCUGAACACUUAAGAGUGUGGAAUUUCUGUACAAAGUCAGAAGCUACAUUUGGCAGGUGCCUCAAUGAAAUACUUCCCAGUUUUUAUUUAUUUAUUUAUUUUUUUUUAGAUAAAUUGCCCAUAGAUUUAAUCCCAGCCCUGCUAUUGACUAGCAAUACCACUUGGGGGAAAGCAACAACCUCUUGGAAUAUAUUGCUUGUCUCUGACAUGAAGAUGAUUAAUAUUUUACCUCACUGAGUAAAGCCUCACUGGCUUUACCGAGUGCAAGAGAUAUGGAGAUAAACUCUUUACAAGCAUCCAUUUAAUCUUCAACACGUUAGUGAGUAGAGGCUAGUUGGUUCACGCAUCUGUUUUCUUUUUGCUCCUGAGCACACAGAGAAACUUCAUCUCCUGGUUCCUCUCACAUUUAGGUACCAUCACAUUACAGGGUUCUAGCGAUGGAAAUAGUGGUAAAAAUGAUCACCACUGUCUCCAGGUCCACAGAACUGUUCCUUGUAAUUCUUCAUGCUCUCUUUCUUCCCUCAUCAGAGGAUUAAACAGAAUUAUUGGUGUGAGAAAGUUCUCUCUUCCCGUCCCUACCACCAACCUGUACUGCACUCUGAUGUGAGCCACAUUUUACUGUGUCAAAUCAUUGAGAUGUGUGGGAUUGCUUGGUACAUCAUUUAGUGUACUCUAAUUCCACAAGAUUUGAUCAGAACACAGUGAGGGGAGAAAUAAAUCAUUUAUAAUUUCUGUCACAUAAUGUCCCAUUAAGCCUUACUAACUUAAGAAAGAUGUAAAAUACUUUUAUGAGAUAACUUAGGAGCAAGCGUCUGUAAAAGUCCUUCAAGUAAAGUGUGAAAAAUGUCAAGAAUCAAUUUGGAGCAGGUGUUAUGGCACAGCAGGUCAAGCCACUGCUUGGGAUACCCGCAUCCCAAAUCAGAGUGUCUGGUUCAAGUCCUGGCUACUCUGUGCUUCCAAUUCAGCUUCACGCUAAUGCACAUGGGAGGCAGCAGAUGGCCCAACUACCUGGGCUCCUGCGACCCAUGUUGGGGACCCAGAAGGAGUGCCGGGCUCCUGGCUUUUUUGUGGCUUAUUUCCAGCUAUUGCAGACAUUUGGGCAGUGAACCAGUAGAUGAAAGAUCUCUGUCACUCUGUCUUUCAAAUUAAUUACUAAAAAAAAAAGGAGUAUCAGCAUAGCCUCUCAAAAACAUUUGCCUCUAUCAUCCUUAUCAUGAUCUUCCCCUCAGUGCUAAGUUUUUGAAACAUUCAGGAGCUGGACAAUGGUUUUGAAGAUGUGAUAAAUACUCAUGGAGCUAUGUAACAAAAAGGAAGAAAAUAAGUGUUGUGUUAAGACAGACUGACCUUCAGUCUGGGCACAGCAACCACCUAGCUAUAUAUGAUCCCACUCUUAGGAGUCAUAGUAAAAUGAAUAUGGUAGGGGCUGGCACUGUGGCAUAGUGGGUAAAGCCACCACCUGCAGUGCCAGUAUCCCAUAUGGGCACUGGUUCGAGUCCUGGCUGCUCCACUUCCAAACCAGAUCUCUGCUAUGGCCUGGGAAAGUGGUUAAAGAUGGUCCAGGUCCUUGGGCCCCUGCAUGCACGUGGGAGACCAGGAAGAAGCUCUGGGCUCCUGCCUUCGACCUGGUCCAGCCCUAGCUAUUGUGGCCAUUUGGGGAGUGAACCAAAGGAUAGAAGAUCUCUUUCUCUCUCUCUGUGUAUCUCUUCCUCUAUCUUUAAUUUUGCAUUUCAAAUAAAUAAAAAAUCUUUAGAAAGGAAAGGAAAAAGAUAAGACAGAAGAGACUUUGCAGUCUUUAUCUCACAAAUUGGCAGUUGAUUUUUUAAGAAACCAGGUGCUAGCACAAGAACUGGUAUUAGGAUGUGCUGCUGUUACUGACAACUACUACACUAUCAGAAAAUAAUACUGAAGGUUUUACAACCAGGGUGUUCCCCAGAUCAGGACAAGGGUGACGCAGCACUAGACUGAGACAGCUUCAUUUUGCCAGGCCUUUGUGCUAUUCUUGAGGCGAUAUCCUGUCCAUGGAGAAUUGCAGUUGGGAGAAAGACCACCUAGGAGGAAAGCACUUUUGAACAGCAUGUUUUACAGCAUCUCCUGUGUUCAUUUGUUCUUUCUUUUUGCUUUUUUACUCAAUGGAACCUUGCUGAAGAACCAGUCAUGUACCAGGACUAUACUGAUCACUGAAAAUGAGAGAAAUAUAUCCUCAGUCAGGUUUUGAGGGAACUCUGUGACAAUCAUGUUAGGCUUCACAGCUUAGAGGUCCAGAUAUGUUCUCUGGAGGAAAAGGGCACAAGCUACCAUCUAUGGUGGGGAAAGUAUGAGCUUUGGCAUCAGAGGGAUCAGCAUUCCAAUCAGGGUACAACUCACUUCCUGUGUGAACUUGAGCAAAUCUCUCACAUCUCUAAACCCCUAUUCUCUCAUCUGUUAAGUAAGAAUGACACACUUUCCGUGAAAGGUGAUUAUGAAGAUUCAAUGGGGUCAGUGAUAUGAUGUGCCUGGCCCUUAAUGGAGAGCCCCCUUCUCAUGAAAAUGCUGUCCCUCUGCCUCUGCAACUUCUCCAUUCCACUCCGGGUUACACUGUUAUCUUUUGUGGUUUCUUUUCUUCCUUUAAACCUGACCUGAAUUUACAUUAAAACCUGGUCUCAUACCCAUAAUAAUGAUAAUAAAAUAAGUGGAGAAGUGGGUGUGAUACACAGUGUACUUUCCCCUAGCUAGGAAGCCAUCCUCCCACUCUUCUUCCCACACAACCAUUACUGUGUUAAACACAAAUUACCAGGUCUCAAUGGCUAGGAAUCCUUCAUUGUCCAUAUCAUGUGUUUCUGGCUUUCCAAGAUUUUUCCAUCUGAAAGAGUGUAUUUCAUAUGAGGCACUACUUCCACAUUUGUUCUUUUUUUUUUUUUUUAAGAUUUACUUAUAUAUUUGAAAGGCAGACUUACAGAGAGAGGAGGAGAGACAGGGGGAGAGAGAGAGAGACCUUCCAUCUGCUGGUUCACUCCCCAAUGGCCAUGACAGUGGGGCUGGGCCAGGCUGAAGCCAAGAACCUAGAACUCCACCCAGGCCCCCAAAUGGGUAGCAGGGGCUCAUGCACUUGGGCCAUCAUCUACUGCUUUCCAGGUACUUGAGCAGGGAGAUGGAUCAAAAGCAUAACAGCCAGGAUUUGAACUGACACUUGCAUAUGUGAGCCAGCAUUGGAAGCUGUGGCUUAACCUACGGCACCGCAAUGCCAGCCUCCACAUUUGCUUUUAUUCUUCAGUAACUGAUCUGAUUAUUCAGAGGAAAAACAGAUCAUGUAAGCAAGUUGACUCUAAAGGAAUUCUGAGUAUUUCAUUCUUGGGCCCUUGAAGCAGCAGGACAAAAGUCCUUUGUCUUCUCCUGCUUAGGACGGUGUUGGUUCCUUGUGUAUAUUUGAAACUGGCUGUAAACAGAAAGUAAUUUAUUUACUUAAUUCUAUACUCAUUAAUUAACUCAAUAGGCAUUUAUUGAGCAACAAAUAUGUGCCAGGUCUGUGCUAGAUCUUGGAGAUGAUGUACAAGUGAGAAAUAUAGAUUAGACUCCUACCCUCAUGAAACUUACAUUCCACCAAGGUAGACAGCAAGACCUGAGUUGGAGAAGUUAAUUUUAGAGAAAUUAAGGGCUAUAAAAUGAGAGUGAGAAGGCUGGCAGAAGUCAAAUUAAGUAGGGUUUUGUCAGCUAGGACUCCGGAUUUUACUGUAGUCACAAUUCAUUCAGACUUCAACAAACACUGAUUGAAUGUGUAAAUGUUUCAGGCACUGUUCUAAACACUGAACAUGCAUCAGUAACAAACAUAAAAAUCUCUUCCUCUUGACAGUUAUAUUCUAGUGAGUGACAGAGGCGAUGAACAAAGUAAAUAACUUAAAUAGAUGUUUUGUUGUUGUUGUUGUUGUUGUUUGGAUAGGCAGAGUGGACAGUGAGAGAGAGACAGAGAGAAAGGUCUUCCUUUUGCCAUUGGUUCACCCUCCAAUGGCCGCCGUGGCCGGUGUACCGCUCUGAUCUGAAGGCAGGAGCCAGGUGCUUAUCCUGGUCUCCCAUGGGGUGCAGGGCCCAAGCACUUGGGCCAUCCUCCACUGCACUCCCUGGCCACAGCAGAGAGCUGGCCUGGAAGAGGGGCAACCGGGACAGAAUCUGGUGCCCCGACUGGGACUAGAACCUGGUGUGCUGGCGCCGCAAGGCGGAGGAUUAGCUAUUGAGCCAUGGCGCUGGCUAAAUAGAUGGUAUUUUUGAUAACACUAAAGAGAACAAAAUAUAAAAAAAGCAGUUAAGAAGUACAGGGUUAUAAAUUUAGGUGAGAGUAGCCAGAUAAGGACUUACUUUAAAAUUACAUUUUAGUAAAGAUUUGAAGUGUCCAUGUCUAUGUCCAGAGGCAGAACCAGGCCAUUCCGAUGUUUAGAAGUCAGAAAUGGAGGCCAGCAUUGUGGUGCAGUGGGUAAAGCUGCCACCUGCAAUGUUGGUAUACAAUAUGGGCACCAGUACAUGUCCCAGCUGCUCCACUUCCAAUCCAGGUCCCUGCUUAAUUGCCUGGGAAAACAGCAGAAGAUGGCUCAAGUGUUUAGGCUCCCACCACCCACGUGGGAGACCUGGAUGAAGUUCUUGGCCUCUGGCUUCAUCCUGGCCCAGCCCUGGCCAUUGCGGCCAUCUGGGGAGUGAACCAGGAUAUGGAAGAUCUCUCUCUCUCUCUCUCUCUCUCUCUUUCUCUCUCUUCUCUCUCUCUGUAACUCUGACUUUCAAAUAAAUAAAUCAGUCUCAAAAAAAAAAAAAAAAAAAGGAGAAAGAAGUAUCUGGAAAAGUAAGAGAAAAAUCAGCCAUUUGCCCUGAAAGAAACUUUUUCUAUAUUUUGGUUUUUUUGGGGGUUAUGCUUAGGAACUUUUCACCUAUAUCAUGGCAGAUACUCUCCUAUGUAAUUUCUUAGGAUUUAUAUCAUCUUUGGAACUGGCGCUGUGGCAUAGUGGGUUAAACCACUGCCUGCAAUGCCAACAUCCUUAUGAGCCCUGGUUCGAGUGCUGGCUGGUCCCCUUCUGAUCCGGCUCCCUGCUAAUGUACCUGGGAAAGCAGGGUAGUAUGGUCCAAGUCCUUGGGCCCUUAGCAUCCACGUGGGAAACCCAGAAGAAGCUACUGGCUUUGGUCUGGUCCAGCUCCAGACAUUGCAGCCAUUUGUGGGGUGAACCAGUGGAUGGAAGAUCUCUCUGUCACUCCCUCACUUUCCUUCUGUAACCCUGCCUUUCAAGUAAAAUAAAUGAGUCUUUAAAAAAA